rnacentral:rRNA from 1 species
UACGAAGGGGGCUAGCGUUGCUCGGAAUUACUGGGCGUAAAGCGCACGUAGGCGGCUUCUUAAGUCGGUGGUGAAAUCCUUGAGCUCAACUCCAGAACUGCCUUUGAUACUGAGGAUCUUGAGUUCGGGAGAGGUGAGUGGAACUGCGAGUGUAGAGGUGAAAUUCGUAGAUAUUCGCAAGAACACCAGUGGCGAAGGCGGCUCACUGGCCCGAUACUGACGCUGAGGCACGAAAGCGUGGGGAGCAAACAGG